GGAUUCGCGACCUAUGUUUUGGUUAUCAUGUGCUGUCACUCUGAUUAAAACGUAUGCACUGUGAAUCAGACCACGAAAUACACGUUUAAAAACAUAUAUGUAUGACAUACUUAUAACUAUAUUUAGAUAAUUAUAUACGCCGAUAUAAUACACCCGGUAGAAAUACAUUUGCGCAUUUCAUUUAAAGCGUGAUUUAGACACAAACUGUUAGAAUAAGUGAAUUAAAUAAAGCAUCGAUUAUGUGAAUAAUGACAUCUAGAUUUAUGUGGAAAUAACGUUUAACCGGAAGUAUAAUUUAUCGUUGAACAGUAUGGAAAUAUAUAAAAAAGGAAAUGUGACGUUCAUAAUCGUUUUAUAAAGAAGGAUUGAAUAUUACCUAGAGUAAAUUGGUAAAUUAUGAAUUCGUUACAGAACAAUGAUUUCAACAAAUAUGAUCGAUAAUGACGAUUAUUAAAGAACCUUUAAAUAUAGGUGCAAGUGACUUAUUAAAAGGAGUUGAAUAUACACAUUGCGGAGUACUACACAUCCAGUGCAACACAGUUUUUGGGAAAAAAUGUAAGUAUCUGUUUUCCCAAAG